CAGCAGUGGGGAAUAUUGCACAAUGGGCGAAAGCCUGAUGCAGCGACGCCGCGUGAGGGAUGACGGCCUUCGGGUUGUAAACCUCUUUCAGUAGGGAAGAAGCGAAAGUGACGGUACCUGCAGAAGAAGCGCCGGCUAACUACGUGCCAGCAGCCGCGGUAAUACGUAGGGCGCAAGCGUUAUCCGGAUUUAUUGGGCGUAAAGAGCUCGUAGGCGGUUUGUCGCGUCUGCCGUGAAAGUCCGAGGCUCAACCUCGGAUCUGCGGUGGGUACGGGCAGACUAGAGUGAUGUAGGGGAGACUGGAAUUCCUGGUGUAGCGGUGAAAUGCGCAGAUAUCAGGAGGAACACCGAUGGCGAAGGCAGGUCUCUGGGCAUUUACUGACGCUGAGGAGCGAAAGCAUGGGGAGCGAACAGGAUUAGAUACCCUGGUAGUCCAUGCCGUAAACGUUGGGCACUAGG
rnacentral:rRNA from 1 species